rnacentral:rRNA from 1 species
CCUACGGGAGGCAGCAGUGGGGAAUUUUGGACAAUGGGCGCAAGCCUGAUCCAGCAAUGCCGCGUGCAGGAUGAAGGCCUUCGGGUUGUAAACUGCUUUUGUACGGAACGAAACGGCUCCUAUUAAUACUGGGGGCUAAUGACGGUACCGUAAGAAUAAGCACCGGCUAACUACGUGCCAGCAGCCGCGGUAAUACGUAGGGUGCGAGCGUUAAUCGGAAUUACUGGGCGUAAAGCGUGCGCAGGCGGUUAUAUAAGACAGAUGUGAAAUCCCCGGGCUCAACCUGGGACCUGCAUUUGUGACUGUAUAGCUAGAGUACGGUAGAGGGGGAUGGAAUUCCGCGUGUAGCAGUGAAAUGCGUAGAUAUGCGGAGGAACACCGAUGGCGAAGGCAAUCCCCUGGACCUGUACUGACGCUCAUGCACGAAAGCGUGGGGAGCAAACAGGAUUAGAUACCCUGGUAGUCCACGCCCUAAACGAUGUCAACUGGUUGUUGGGUCUUCACUGACUCAGUAACGAAGCUAACGCGUGAAGUUGACCGCCUGGGGAGUACGGCCGCGAAGGUUGAAACGUCAAAUGAAUUGACGG